rnacentral:miRNA from 1 species
UGGCGGUGCGCGGCGCAAUUUCUG